UACGUAGGGGGCUAGCGUUGUCCGGAAUCAUUGGGCGUAAAGCGCGUGUAGGCGGUCCGGUAAGUCCGCUGUGAAAGUCGGGGGCUCAACCCUCGAAUGCCGGUGGAUACUGUCGGGCUAGAGUGCGGAAGAGGCGAGUGGAAUUCCUGGUGUAGCGGUGAAAUGCGCAGAUAUCAGGAGGAACACCUAUUGCGAAGGCGGCCAACUGGACGAGUACUGACACUGAGACACGAAAGCGUGGGGAGCAAACAGG
rnacentral:rRNA from 1 species